ACUCGUGCUGAAAAAAUCCUCUUUUUGCAACUUGUUGCAUAAACUACUAUUUCAAUAUUUCACCACCGCCAUGUAGGCCGCCAUCUUGGAUUUUAAAAAUAUAAUCUAAUGUCCCUUAAGAGUAGUUUAGGGUGUCAUACUGAAGCUUAACGAUAAAAAAUAAGACAACGGAAAACUUUUUUGUUUCGUGUUUCGAUUAACCGAAGUGAAAUUUUUCCAAGGCCUUCGGAUAAUCGAGUCUGGGGUGUAUUUGAACUAAAAUACUUUAAAAUAUGAGAAUUUGUAUUUCGUGAAUCAACUUUACAAUUAUUUGGAUAUUUAAAGUAUUUUUGGUAAGGACUUCAGAAAGACGAGUUUAGACUGUAUUUCCGUUUUUUUUUAAGUUUAAGUUAAAAGCGAUAUUAACAUGUUAAAUCUUUAAAUGUUUUUAAAAAGAGCCAAGGAUUCGUUCGAAACAUCAAUUUUGUAACAAACGUAGAAAUAACCAAUUUCCACUCGAGCCUUUUACAGUUAAAGCUGAUUUUAAAUGGUUUCUGCGCAAAGAAAGCGGAUCUCAAUCAAUUGUGUAAAAAAUUAGAUAGAUGCCACAUUUUCAUUACUUUUUCGAAUAAUGUUGUGCAUUUUCAAUCAGGGCAAACCUUUAUUUGUUUAUCCGGUCAGAUGCAUUUCCAAAAGAGGGAAUCAGUAAGUUAAAACACCAUGCGUCUCCACUACAUUCCAUUUCAACUUUAUAUCAAUCAUGUUUGUUUGUUCAAAUUAAAUUAAUGUUUAUAUACAGAAAACAUAGAAACAAUGCAAAUUAAACUUUUUGGAAGCCUAGUUCUCAUUCAAAAAACACAUCAGAACACUCUUUUCGACAUUCUGGUUUUAAAUAUCAAAUAUAUCACAAAAAUGGUGGCAUGAUUCGAACUGUUUUCAUUUGAUUUUGACCUUAUGGUGGGGCACGUGUCUAUACUCUAUGAACGCAAACAAGCACUUAUCCAACCGAUUGAUAAAACCAACAACACGAACCAGAGCGAAUGUUGCAUGGCUUGUAAGAAUGAUUGAAAUUAUCCCAAGAUAACAAAAAGAAACACAAAGAAUAAAUGUAUGCAGCAUUUUCGUCAAGUGAACAAACUGUGAGUUUUCAACACAACUAUCAACAGGAUUGGACAAUACAAAGUCGUAAAAGCAAAGCUUCCCAACGCAGUCUCUCGAUUCGGUCUACCCAGUCGAGAUGCUGCAGACACAUGUUAUAUAGUUAGCAAAACAGUUACGAAAACUACCACGGGAAAUACUAAACAGGAUAAAUUCUUUCAGCCACUGCUGAUUGCCAACCCAAUCAUGAUAAUCGCAUCGUGAAUGGGCCGGUCUUAAGAAAUUGCUGUAAUAUCCGAUUCCCAUAAUAGCAUUUCGAAACUAAAAAAGCACCUCGGUACGCACAAAUGACCAGCUGUGAGGACUCAAUAUGAUAAGCUCGACUGCAAUUUGUAUGAUGUUAUACGACAACCUCAUCUCUAACUCAUCCUCUCAAAAAAACACACAAACAAACUAGCCUAAAGACGUAGUUACAAUAUAAACAGAUAAAUAUAAAUCGUAAUCGCCCGUAACAAAAGAAGAAGAAAACAAAGAAAGGUGACAAGCAGACGUUACAAUAUUAUUGAGCAGAUGUAACUAACUCCAACAGUAAAUUAACGAUAACUCCGUAACGUAAACUCAUCUCAAGCAUUAUACAAAAAUAAAACCAACAGCUGGAGGAUUUUUUCUCUUCAUGCCUGAUCAUACGAGCACACACACACACACACACAAAAGGAAAAUCAGAAUCAAUUAUACCAUACCUUAACUUUUAGUCAAAUCUUACACCAAUCAAAUCGACUUGAUGAUAUCUAACAAAACUCGUUGCGUUAUAACACUUACAAAUACACACAACCCACGUAUUUAUAUACUUUCAGACCGUUUAGAGAACAGUUUUAUUGGGUUUCUCAAAGUUUAACGAAUAAGUAAAUUGUUAUUUGAACGCUCGGCUGCAAAACUUGGCCGAGGUCGUUUCUGCCAAAACAAAAAAACUCUUUCUUUCCAACACUAAUGACUAAAAAGUAAACUGUUUAACUCGAUAAGUGUACUUUUCUGUCUUGAUGUGAUUUUUCUCGUAACCUCAACAUAACGUUAACCCCACACACAAACUAUGGAAGAAGGAAAAAAAUAAGAAGAAGAAAAAGAAUCGAUUCCAAGCCAAUCUAGCUUAAACAUCACACUUGAGGGCAUGCAACAGUGUGGAACGAAAAACCUCACAUACCCCCCUUUCUUUUUGAACGGUUGUGGCUUUGGCACUUCUAUCCCGAAAUCCCUCUUCAAAACAAUCUUUAUUUGCGAAAAUAAAAACACAAAACAAUUCUCCAAAAUUUCAGUUAGAUUCUAUUUCUCUCUCACGUACACAACCCACCGAGGCCAGAAUCCUUGCAAAGACUUUCUCCACCAGCCCCGAACUUUCUUCCGGAGAAAACCGUCCCACAGGUUUAAAACCGAAAUUCUUUUUUUUCUUUUGCUGUUCUGUUAUAAAACCUCCAAAAACGCAACCCCAUCAACAAACAAAAGAUGCCAUUUCAAGACGCUAAGCUAUGAAAUUGAACACAAGAGAAAAACUGUAUAAACGACAUAUUUCGCGUUGAAAUUUACGAAGAUUAUCAUAAAAUAGCAGUAUUCAUAUAUUAUAUAUAUUAACAAAAUGGAGAAAUGGAAUGAAAUUAAAGAUUUUUUCAAUGUUGUGCAUUUCGUUAAAUCUAUACAUCUUUGACGACAACAUAGUAUAUACAAAAAACCCAUUACAAAAAGAAAAGAAUGCUAUCUAAUUAUUCCAAACAGAGGUAGAAUGUUGACAGUAAUAAAAAAGGAAUAUUAACAAAAGAGAAAAAAAAA